rnacentral:lncRNA from 1 species
GCGGAGGAGGCCCCAGUGCCACAGCCCAGGGCCCCCGAGAGCUCUGGGAGCCCGGGGCAAAUGCUAGAAAUUUGCUUAGAACGUCCGGGUCCCACGGAAGGCGCCCUUGCCGCCCUCUCUCGGGUCGUAGCUCCCUGACGCUGGGGCGCAACCCCUUCGCUCCUCCUCCCCGCUGGCCGCGGCCGGGCUUCCCCAGCUCUUGCUGCUUCGGGCCUGUGACUUCUGCAACCCCGGGCUGGGGGCCGCGGGGUCUCAGGGCCGGUGACGCCGCACUGGGAGCCGCCCCAAAGAGGUUACUCACCUCCCUCGUCCCGCACAUUAUUCUGACCCAAGAGCCUCCACCCCACACGGGAUUUUGCGCGUCGUCCACGCCCGGCCGGCGGCCUUUGCUGCUCCCAGCCCUGCGCGGCUUUGGUCCCAGCCUCGGUGGCCCCUGUGCCAAACCGGGGACAGGCGGAAGGGAGUCUCCUAGGGACCCUAAGUAGCCUGGGGCCAACAACCCCUUUCCUCUCUGCUCUCCCCUCAAAACAAGUUUCAGGAUCUUGCAGGCCUCGCGGCGUCGUUCUUCGUUGUGGCGGCCUGUGGCUCUUUGAAAAACACGACGAGGCCUGCAAAAUGCGUUUUUCUUUUUUUCCUUUACGCAUGUAACCACGGUCCUGCAUCGUGAAACGGUACGCGCGUCGGUGGCAAAAGAAAAACAGCAGUGGCUGCAAAGCUAAGGGCCCUCGCUUUCAGAGGAGAGAAUUUUCUUUCUCCAUGCGGGUGGAAAGUGGCCUCUGCGGGUCCAACCCCACUUCUUCUUGGGCCCGUGCGCUCCGGCUGCGCCGCAGGGACCGCGGACAGCUUCGCCAAGGCACUGCCUGCCCGCCCGGCUCCGGGUCCCCGCUCCCACUCCCAGCCGCGUGGCCCAACCUCUCCUGGGCUUCACUGCAAAUCACCCCUUCCUCUCCCGCCUCCUAAGUCUGUCGAGCAGACCUAGGGGCCGGCUACAGUUGGGAGGGCAACGGGAAAGAUCAAGCCACAAUCAUUCCGAAUUAUCGCCCCAGACACCUCCCUAGACUCUGGGGAACGAACGCGUGCUGAGCCUCCCCGCCGCUUUGGAGACGGGGCUAGAUUUUCGUUGCCUCCGGCUCUCGACAGGUGCAAAACAAUGAAUUCCAAGCCUCGGAAGCAAAGAAGCUUAGGAUCCGACGGUGGCCGCAAGAUCUCAUCAUGGAUCUGACCCCUGCUCAGCGCGCGCCAUUUCGUCGUUGCCAAACGAAAUCAAGCCCCGCGUGCGCUCCAGGGGCGAAGGACUCUGGACUCACCCCGACCACCGGGAGAGCUGGCCCCUACCCACCUCGGGACCUCACAGCACGCCCUCAGGCCGUGUCGAAAGGAAGGACGGCAAAGGUCCCUUACUGAACCUUUUAAGAGAGCCUGCGCCUGGCAGUUGUCGAUUGCGGACCCAGGCCCGCGCGCCCUCGGACGCGCUGGCACGAGCAGCAGAACUAGAGGAAAGCGAGUGAUCCAGCCUGGGCGCUCCCACCUCCGGGAACGUCUCCGAGAAGGCGCAGCGCGUCGUGGCCAGGACACAAUGUUCUGUGUCCUCCGGAGGACACAGCCAGAAGACACUGCCUUGGAAACAGGGAGUCCAGGACCUCACCAGAUGCGGAACCUGCCAGAGCCUUGAUCUUGGACUUCCCAGUCUCCAGAACCAUGUGUAGUAAGUUUCUAUUUCUCUAUUUAUAAAUUAUCCCGUCUCAGGUAUUUUGUUACAGCGACACAGAGUGAACUAAGACACUCUCUUUAGACAAAAGUGGGCCAGGGGAUGGCAGCAACCCUUUUCUCCCCAAUCGCAUUUGGGCUGUGUCAGUGUUUCCGUAAUAAAGGCCCCUUUUCCAGGGGUUAUAAUUUGGCUGGAAAAUGAGGAGGAAAGACCAGACUCCAGGACUGGAGGGGCACAUGAAGUAGGAGGCUAGGAUGGGAAAAGUCUCCACUGGACCCUGGGCACGCAGAGUGCACACACACACGCACACACAUCUAUACCCUACAUGUGUGCACUCACACACAGCACCCACGCUCAUGGGCACAGUCUCUCACACAUUCACUGGCAGCUCACACCCACAUGGACAAGCCCUCAUGGAGGACAGCAUUGUUACAGUGCAGCCACAGGUGCAAACAGUUAAGUGCAGGUGUGUGCAAAGAUGCUCCUAGGAGAUGCCUCUGUCUGCAUCAUCAUGCAUGGACCUAUUGGUAUAGAUGCGCAGAUAGAUGCACAGAUAGGCCCCAUUAUAUGAGUGGUGUGGACACACACAUGGGCAGAAACCCACAUCACAGCUGUGUAAACAGCAGACCAUUGUGUGGACAAAUCUUUACACACAGAGGCAGGCAUGGAAUCAGGGCUCAGAGCUUUGGAUUUGUUCUACAGAGCAGCUCUGGGAGGAGUCGAACCCUGGCUCUGGAAGUUUCUGCUUCUCCUCAAUUCAGAGGCAUGGACUUUCUGGGUGGUUUGCCCCCCUGGGGCUUCCAAACCAUUCCCCAGCAUCUGAGUUUAACCCGCUCCCUCAUUGUUCGAUGGGGACAAGGAGAGCCUGUCUUCCUGGUCCAGAGAAAGGCAGUGGGAGGGGAGAAGUGGGAGGGUUGCAGCUAGGGUGCCCCACGGCAGCAUGGGUGGAAGGGCAGGGCACUAGCCUAGGGGCCCAGAGACCUGAGUUUGGGUUUAGGUUGAGAUGCCCUAGGCCAACACAUGGCCUCUCUGGGCUUCAUCCUGAGCCCCCUCUGUUAGGGCCAUGUGACACCCCCAGGGGCCUCAGCAUGGGGAAGAGCACUGAAACCAUGUCACAUGAUGAACUAUUAAAGCAACUGGAGACUUUGCCCUGGAGGAGAGCAGGCUUGGGGGGUAAGAGCUCCUCUGGCAGAUCUAUGAAGAGCUCCCAGGUGGCAGGGACCAUAUGGAUGCUGGGGGCUCCAUACCAGGAAUAGAAAUAUUGAGAGCUGGCUUGGAAUAGGGACACGUCCCCUCAGAGGUAGAGAUCAAGUUGAGACCAGGAUAUUGUGCAGGGAGUUCGAGUGUUAGAUGGGGCAGGGGCCGGACCAGAUACUAGUGUCUCAAACGCUCAGCUCAUAGCAAACACGUAUUGAACAAAUGAGAGAGCGACUGCAGAGCUCCAUUUCUGAGCCAAUCAUCCGUGAUUCAGAGCAUACCAGCUCUGGGUUCCCACCUUGCCAUCUGCAUGACCUUGGCCCUCUCCAAACCUCAGUUUCCUCAUCUAUGAAAUGGGGAGAACAAAUUAUUUCCAAGAGCUCCAGCAAGUCACAUCCCCUAUUGUUGGUCUUUCAGGUCAUCCCAGAAUUUCUGCUCUUAUAAAUAGAAAAUGACAUUGAAGGUGAAAAGCAGACAGACAAGCAAGAGAAUAGUUAAUACAAAAAUCAUAGCUAGGCGUGGUAACUUGUGUCUGUAAUCUCAGCUACUUGGAAGGGUGAGGUGGGGGGAUCUACUUGAGGCCUAGAGUUCAAGACUAGCCUGGGCAACAAAGUGAGACUCUGUAUCUACCAAAAAAAAAAAAAAAAAUCAGGAGAGUGGUCCCCACCACUUGCCACCUGUGAUGAGUAGGGAGAGGGAUGCAGUCAGGGAAGGGACACUGGUGGGAGCCCUAAGGUCCCAUUAGUGCUUUGUUUUUUAAAGCCAGGUGGUAGGUAGAUAGAUGUCUGCUUUAUUCUUCUUCUUUAAACAAUACUUAUAUUUUAUACAUUCUUCUGUACAUGUAUUUUACAUGUUUAAAAAUAUUUUAAAGGAAAGCAAAAGAUAAAAUAUAGAAAAAGUUCCCCUGCCCCAAACCUCUGAAAAAAUGGACAAUAUGCUCAAAUGUGCAUAAUAUCGUACAAUUAUUCAUGAUGCAGCAAAGCUGCACUGUUUCAUCCGGAUGGUCCUGUGUACCAUCACACUCUCAGUUGAAUCUCUGCAGGCCCUUGCAGCUGUCCUCAUCAUGGCAACCCCCACCUAGGUAAGCACUUCUAGGUAACAGCCCCUGCUGAGCACGCUCCCCAAGCACUCCUCAUGGCCGACCAGUAGCCCUUCAGGUAUGUGUCAGUGGGCCCACUUUACAGGCAAGGAAGUCCCUUGCACCUACAUAGGAAGGGGCAGAGCUGGGAUUUGAACCAGCUCUGUCAAUGCCAAAGUUGUGCAGCAACCUCACCCGAGGAGCCAGGCCCCUUGAUUAUAGUAACUAGCGUUAUGUACACUCACACAUGCUGUUGAAUCCCCGGAGCCACUUUUGUAUUAGGUACAUUUAUCAUCAUCCCCAUUGUAACAGUAGGACAACGGAGGCAUAGCAAGGUCAGGAACGUGUUCAAGUUCACACCCUAGGUGAGUAUCAGAGCUGAGCCUUGAACCUCAGCAGCCUGAUCCCAGAUUGUGUUUCCUGGCCUGGCUGUGUGGGGAGCUCAGACUUCAUGGAAACAAAAGACAGAACGGUGGCUCCAGGGUCCACAGCGGAUCCCAAGGGACCAGAGGCCAGCAGGGGGGUUGGCUGGGGUUGGAGGAUGCUGCCUAGGAGAUCUGCUCCCAGAGUGAUGCUAGCCCUGUGUGAUGACCUGAGUCCCCGCCUCCUUACAGGGUCAUGGCUGCUGGGGAGGUGCUGAGGCUGUGGGUACAGCCAAACGGAGCUAGAGCAGGCUUUGGACUCCCUGCCUGGCAAGUCCAGGUGACAGGCUCAGACACUGGGCACUCUGUCAUUUGCUGUUGGCAUAAGUUUCCACUGGCAGGAAUGUGACAUUUAUCACCUGAGUGGGCUUCCAGAAGCCCACUGAAUGUCCUCAGACCUGGGGUGGGGGGCCCUCUCACUGCCUCACCUCUGAGCCUUAAUCAAAUCCAGGGUGGCUGGAUGAUCUGAAGGCCCUUUUAGCUCACGGAGGCCUGGGCUUGCCCCUGCCCCCAUCCGUGUCCUCAGGGGAAAAGGUUCCCAGUCCUGCCCUUAGCAGCUCUGAGCUUAGAUGAGGGGGGGAGAUGAGAUGGAAAGGAAAAGGAGAAGUAAGAAACAGACAGAGGAAAAGGAGUUGGCACUAGAUUGAAGCAGUCAACACACACUUAUUAGGCACCUAGGGCUAUUUUAGGUGCUGGGGAUACAAGCAAUGGACCAGAAAGCCAUGGAGCUCCUUGGGGGCUUUGAUUCCAGCAGGGCAGACAGAAGACAGACAAGGAGGCAAAUAAAUAAGCACGCCAAUAUUUGAUAGUGUCUUGGGACACUCAAGAAAACAGAUGGGGGUAAAGUCAGAGAGAGUGACUGGGUGGAUGGGGAGAGAGGGGCUCUUGGCAAUACUUUAGACAGGGUGGUCAGGGAAGGUCUGUCGGAGCAGGUGACAUGCGAGCUGAGACCAGAGGGUUGAGAGGGACCCAGGAAGGGAGAAGGGGGCUGGUAGGAGGGCCCACUGCACAGUGGAACUGGCUUUACCCACCUGCCUUCUCCCCACUCCUCUGCACUGCUAGUAUCCCCAGUUCCUAAAACUCUUACUGCCCUUUCUCUCUGUUGCUUCUCCCACAACAGCCCUGAGAGCCAGAUGGGGUGAGCCUAAGUAGCCUGACCUGCAGUGCAGGAAACUGAGGCUAGAGUGGGGAGGGUCAGCAUCAGCGGUGCCCUAAUGCCAGGACCUGACCCGGGCUCCCGCCUCCCAGCCUGGUGCUCCUCGGAGCCUGCCCAUUGCCUGGCAUGUUAUUCAACCACCCCAGUCCAGGCAGGCUGCAGCCACUGUGGAGCCAGCCCGUGGGCACCGCUCCUGAGAGGUCACAGGCUGGAAAUGUGGGCAGCUGGGUAGGGUCUAGGAGGGGGCAGCGGCUCAGGACUGGGCGGGGGUCCGGAGCGGAAGGCGCCCAGCCCUGAUUGGAACAAGGUGGCAGCACCGGGAGCCGAGCCGGGUGUCAUUGAUCUUGCCCGGUGUUCCAGCCACCAGGCGGGACCAGCGCCGGGCAGACUGCCGGUUUUCCCAGGUGUGGGGACACCCUGAGGGAAUGACUUUUCAUGUGGUUGUGGGGCAGGCAUGCCACCCAGCACGUGGGGGAGGCCAGGGCUUUGGGAGCAUGCUGGCAGCAGGGUGGAGGGGGGUGUCUGGAGACUCAGAAUCCCACAGCCAGCAAAUGUGAGGCUCCUGGAGACAGGGUCAUGGACUUGAGGCUCUGAGACCCUGAGGAUGUUAGAAUCUUCAUCGCAGUAGCUCCCACUGAUGGUGUGCUCACGGUGCCAGGCACGGUUCUGAGAACUCACACAGCUUAACUCUUCAUCCUUGCUCCAUCCUAAGAGGGGGUUCUGUGAUCAUCCCCACUUACAGUUGGGGAAACUGAGGCUCGGCAAGGUUAAGUAGCCUGCCAAACACACAGCUACCAGGUUUUUGUCUUAGGAAAUAAGAGCCCUGGAACAGUUGGCCAGUGCGGAGAGGACCCCCGAAGAUCUCUGAGGCUAGUCCCCUUGUGUCGGAAAAACAGGUCUGGAGAGGGGAUGUGACGUGCUGGGGCCCAGGGGAGUCCAAAGUCAGGACUCAUUCUUCCCCCAGGUCAUCGUGGGACCUCCGCUGGUCCCUGAAUGUCAGGCCCCCUGAGGGCAGGGUCCUCAGCCAGGACCUAGGCUCCCAGAUGUUACCAACCUUAACUGACAGUUUUCUGCUAGCACACAGGAAGUUCUUUUGAACAUCUAACCUGAAUCCCUCGUUUGCAGGGAAAGCCUCUUCCUUCUCAUCUUGCAGUACUCUAAGAAGAGUUUGGCCUUUGAUGUUAGGGAAGAUCACCAGUUCCCUGGUGUUGUGGGAGGUGAGACUGUGCCCCUCUCUGCCAUAAAAUAUCUCUUUACUGUCCAUCGCUGGGCCUAAACAUUAGCGACUUAGCCCUUGGGGCCUUACAGAGUUUCUUAUUAAAAUGUGAGUACUCCUGGAAUGGGUGUCAGCUUAGCAGGACAGGGUGGUACUUCAGGGGCAGGGCUUGGGGGCCGUUGAGGGGCAGGAGAGAGCUGAUUCUCCCCUUCUAGCCAGGCUUGAUGGGGUCUACAUGACCUGCCACCCUCCACCUCUCUGACCUCAUCUGCUUCCACUCUGCCCCUCCCUCACCCUGCUCCAGCCACCCUGCCUUCAAAUAUGCCCAUCAUACUCCCACCACAGGGCCUUUGUCUGUGCUGCCCUUUACCUGGAAAACCCUUCCCAUUCUGUCUGCCUGGCUCAGCUACCCACUUCAUUCAGGUCCCUGCUGCCUCCUCCAAGAGGCCUUCUCUGGUCUCCUGUGGUAGGCAGAAUAAUGGCCACAGAGAUGUCCACAUCCUAAUCCCCAAACCUGUGGCUAUGUUACCUUAUAUGGCAAAAGGGACUUCGCAGAUGUGAUGAAGGAUAAAGACUUUCAGAUGGGAGAUUAUCCUGGAUUCCCCAGGUGGGCCCCAUAUGAUCACAAGGAUCCUCACACAUGGAAUAGGGAGGCAGAAAAGGACAGUCGGAGGGAGAUGGGGUGUGGAAACUGAUUAGGGAACCUGAGAGAUGGCAGCGUGGGAAAAACAUGGCUCAAAGCUGUGGGCUUUGAAGGUGGAGGAAGGGGCUAUGAGCCAUGGAAAGCAGACAGCCUUUAGGAGCUGGACAAGACAAGGAAACAAAUUCUCCACCAGAGCCUCCAGCAAGGAACACAGCCCUGCCCUGACCUUGAUCUUGGCCAAGGGAGACUCAUAGAGAAUUUCUGAUCCCUGGAACUGUAAGAUUAUAAAUGCAUGUUUUUUUUAAGGCACUAAAAGUGGGUUAAUUUAUGAUGGCAGGCAUAGGAAACGAAUAUGUCUCCCUUCCUUGAUUGACAGUUCCUCAGCACAUUUAUUAGUGCCUGAUACACAAUAGCUUGACUUAUGAAUUGUCUCUUUUCUCUCACAGAAGGUCAGCUGCAGGAGGGCAGGGAUUUUUUGCUUGCUUGGUGUUACAUUCGCAGAUAGAGUUGUCACAUUUAACAAAUGGAAAUAUAAAACACCCAGUUAAAUUGAAUUUCAGAUAAAUAAUGAACUCCUUUUUAGUAUAAAGUUGCCCCAAAUAUUGCAAUUAUUUAUCGUUUAUCUGAAAUUAAAAUAAUUUAGGAGUCUUGUAUUUUAUCUGGCGAAUUCAUCCCCAACACAUAAAACCAUUCCUGGGUAUGUAUUAGGAUCUCAAUAAAUGUCUGUUGAAUGAGUGAAAUAGAUAAGCAAAUGAAUUCACAUUAACUUCUAGCUUAAAAACCCUCUUUGGCUCCCAGAAUGCCUACAGGGUAAAGUGUAAAUCAUAGCAAAUGAUAAAAGCAGACAGUUUCAUAGCCGCUUCAAUAUGCCAGACCCGGGCUGAGUGCUUUACACUUAUUAACUCACUCGGUUCUUGCAAUAACCCAAUGAGGUGGUUAGCCCAUUUUCCAGAUGAGGAAACUGAGGCCCAGGAGGCUUAGUAACUUGUUCAAAGUCACAUAACCAUUGAGCAGCAGAGCCAGGCAAUUCCAGGCCUUUGAAAACUUGGCUCAUGGAAUGUUCUAAUGUUAUCUCCCUACCCAUUCCCCUGAACACUGUGGAUCCUCUCUCUCUAACAGCCCCCGGUUCCUUUUCAGGGUAUGUGCUUCCGCAUUCUCUGACUGCUGAACUCCUCCUCAUACAUCAAAGCCCUGUCCUACUUUUCUCUCUUUGUGAGACCAUCUCUAAAACUCCCAGGAGGACUUGGCCCCCUCUCUUUCCCCUCCCCACCAUGGCCCCUUGUCUGAAUGCGUUGUAAGGACUUGCUAUUGUGUCCUUUACGUUCCCUGACUGUGACCUCCCUGAGAACGGAGAUGGGCCCCUUUCAGCUCUUUGGCAUGGGGCUUCAAACUGAGUCUGGCUUUAGGGGGGUUCCCAGAAGCAUUUGAGAAUGAAUGAAUGAAUGAAUGAAUGAGUGAGUGAAUGAAUGGCUGAGUGAAUGAACGAAUGCUGUUUGUUUCCACUCUGGGCCUCAGUUUCAGAGUCUAUAAAAGGGGAAGAACAAUCCUGAACCGCCCCCCAUUCCUUAAAACAAAACACAUUUUUUUCUGAUUAUAAAAAUAAUACACAUUCAUUAAAGAAAAAUUGGAAAAUAAUAAAAUUAUGAAGAAGAAAAUUAAAACCAUCCAUAAUCCUGCCACCCAGAACAAUGGUUCCCACUGGGUGUUCAGCCUUCUGCUCUUCUUACUGUAUGUAUAGAUUUAUUAUCUUCUUCUCUUCCCCGCCCUCCCUCCCUUCUCUCCUUCCUUUUUUUUUUGAGUGUUGGGAACAUACAGUAUGGGGUCCUUUAAACCUGCUUUUGAAAUCCCCCAACAUGUGUGUAUGUGUGUUCUCCUGUUUUCUUAAAGCCUCCCUGAUGGCAGGGGACAAGUGGCUGCUAGACAAGCCUGGUAGGGGCCAGGGUGUGGAAAGCCCAUUCCCCCCCUACUCAUGGACCACCAUAGUUCCCUUGUGAUGGGCUGUUUAGGGGGUUUCCAGAUUUCUGUCAGGGAACACCCUGCGUGGAUGUCUUAGCUGCAUCCCUGGUUCCUUCCUUAGGACAGAUUCUGGGACUGGGGUUGCUGAGACCAGUAUAGACACUGAGAGGCUCCGGACACCGCCCCACAUCCUCCCCACAGCUGCUCUCCAGCCCCACUCCCACUGGCAGCCUGGACUUCUCAGCUUGGCAGAAAGCCGGGGGCAGUAUUCCACCUCCUCCAGAGAAAAGCCUUGUCUACACCCAAGGCCUCACUGAUUCCAUCCAACGCUGAAAAUACCCAUUUACUCAGCUAUUUCUCCACGUUAUGGUCUAAGGCCCAGAUGCUUAGUUCCAACCAAAAUAGCCACAGAGGUCACUGUGGUCUGAGGGUCCUCUGGACCUCAGGCCUGUGUAGACAUCAUACUUGGUAAUAAUUAACCCACGGAGCUCACCACGUGCCAGACCCUCUGCGUCUCUGUGUGUCCUCACGGUAACCCUGAAGCUAGGGAUGGCUGUCUCCCAUCUUACAGGUGAGAACACUGAGGGUGCUCCAGAGAGCUGUGGGCCCUAGGCCUUGUCACCUGGGGGUGCAAAGGCGCUGCCCCAGUAGUCCGGCUGCCUGCUACCUGGCUGCCUGCUACCCAAUGGGGCAAAGUCCCAGCACUACCCCGAAACAAGGACAAGCUUUGGCCUAGAAGCUGGGCAGCCAGGUCCUGUGCCUGUUUUUUCUCCAUAUGUGCCCUGGGCAGCUCACCCUCUCCGUCUGUGAAAUGGGAGAGCAGGGAGUCAGAGACAGCCUCCUAGGCCUGUGGCGGCUCUGAGCACAGUGGGUGCAGAUACUCAGUGCUGAGUCAAAGAGAGAGAGAACCCUGCCAGAUGGGCCAGCUCACCACAAGCAGCCAAGCCCGGUCUUUGAGGGGUUGGAGUGGGCAGGCCUUUGACCAAGGCUGAGCUAGGAGGGACCUGACGGCCCCAGAUGGAGGCUGGCCCACCCUGCCCCAGCAGAUGGGAGGCUAUUUUUUAACCCCACAGGAAGAAGAGGACAGAAAUGAUUGCAGGGGGUUAACCUAGGCCCCUGGGGACGCUCCCUGUUUGCAUCCUCCUUUCCCCACAACCCAGAGAGCUAUGUGGGCUUCACCUGGAGUUCCCUGAAUCCUUCUGGAGCUCCCCGCAGAUCACAGCCGGAGCUGGCAGGGCCUGAGUGGCCCCUGUCUGCCAGGCGAGGGACCCAGAGCCCAGAGAAGUUUGACCAGGACUGGCUUCCUCUGCCCUCUCUGCUGUGUGCUUCCACCAGUGAGAAGGGCUGAAUAUCACCUGUGAGCCUGCCCCUGCUCCCAAGAACACCCUUUGGACACCUGUGGGCUCUGCAAGGUUGGUGUAACCCCUACAGAUGAGGAAACCAGAGACAGAGAAGUGAAGUAACUCAUGCAGGUGACGGCAGAGGGCAGAGUCAGGACUUGAACCUGGAGAGCCUGGCUCUAAAGCCCAAGCUGGAAUCUCGAUACUCUACACCUCGAUAAGUUUUUGGGAAAUGACUGACUAAACAGAUGAACGCGUUUGCCCCCCCGCCGCCCCAGAGCCCCCUUAAAGCCUACAUGUGGCAGUUUGGGCCCAUUUCCUUGGCUUCCCUCCCUGGAGGGGCACCCACUGCCAGUGUCCCUGGUGAGUGUUUGCCUGUGGGGGUACAAGUGAGGGUUCAGCAAAGGUGACCUGGUGUGAGGGGGGGGUGCCCCAGGGGGUGCAGAGGAGGGCCUCAUGAGGCAGAUUCAGAAUGAAGGUUCUGGCCCCCAGUGGAACCGUGCAUGGGCAAGGGGUCCUCAGGGCCAUUGGCCCAUAAUUGUCAGACGGGGAAACUGAGGCCCAGAGAGAGGAAGGGACUUGUCCUUAGUUACACAGAGUGUCUGGAUCACAGCUCUUAGGUCUCAGCUUCCCCAUUUGUCACACAGGGAGAAUAAAUCCCCCUUGUCCUGCCUGGGGGUAGACCCCAGGGGGCCCCUGUGCCCUCUCACACCUUCCAUUCCAGCUUCUAGAAUUCCACCAUCCAUGCACCAGCCCUGAGGGUAGGCGUUGCCCUCUUCUCACCUCCUGCUCACGCCUCUACUGCAGGAUGGGAACCAAAUGCCUCUCCACCCUUUUCCCACACCCCUUCUCUCCACAGUGAACUGAGGGGAGUUUCUGAUCCCUUAGCUCAAAGUCAGAGAAACUGAGAGGGGAGGGCUGGGUGGGAGCCGUGGGAAUGUCAUGCACAAGCAGUCGGACUCUCCAGGGGUCUGGAUCUCUCCCUUGCUGCCUUGAAGGCCCCUGCACAGGCUGUGGCACUGGCUGAGUACAGGUGCCUGAAGGCAGAGGCAUGGAUGGGAUGCUUCAUUCUCAGCCUGUUUUUGCCAGUGAAGACAAAAGGGAAGUCAUCUUCCGUUGGUCUAUGGGGACCCUGAGGUAGUAGGAGCUCGGUGAUAAUUCUAGGGACCACCCUGGGUUGUCAGGUGGGGGAGACAGAGAAGCCCACAUAGGAGGCACCAAAUGCAACUCACUCGUGCCCUUUUACUCAUGAGAGAACACGGAUCCAGAGAUGUCAAGUGACUCAGACACAGUCUCACAGCACACAGGCGGCAGAGGCAGGUAGGGGACUGGGCUUCCCUGGCAGCAGUCCCCAAGCCUGCCUGAGAGGCACAUCAGAAUCGCUUUAGGGGAUUUGCAAAACCACACCUGCCCAGGCCCAAACCCUAGAGAUUCUGAUUCCGCAGUCUGAGGUAGGAAUGGAGAAUCCUCCACAGCCUGAGGUAGGAACUGGGAAUCCAGUGUUUAAAACUCUCUAGGGGCGGUGAUUUCAGAAAACCUGCUGGCUCCAUCACACUUUGCUCAGGGACUGAGAUGGGAUGGCAUUUGGAAGACACAGCUGAAAUUUAGCAUCAUAUUCCAUGGCGAUUUUCCACCAGUGGAAAUCACAGGUGUUCUCUGGUAUCACAGCGGGGUCAGGGAUGACCUGAAAUAUUGUUCAUGCUCAUCACAACUGCAUGGCCCACCGCGGGGUCUUGUCACUCAGUGAGUUCUUGAAGAGGCACAGACAAAUGGAGUUCAACAAAUGGAAAACAACUGCCUUUAAUUAGCUCCGAGGACUACAAAGGGAACAACGUUAUAAUAGCAGCAACUCCAAGGAAGCAGCCACAGCUCUCAGCUCUCAGACCUGGGGCUGCCGCUCAUCAUCAGCUACAGCUAGGUUUGAUGGGAGUGCCCCCAUUUCAGGGGACAGCAGGCCCCCUUCACUCCCCGACUCAGUCCCCAUCUGCAGCAGCACAGCCUUCCUUGGCCUCACCAGGGAAGAAGAACAGGCCCCGCUCUCAGACAAGCCUUCCCAGAAGCCUGAGGACUCAAACACCCAAAUGUGUCUGGGUCCCUGCCCCGAGCCGGCCACCCAGGCAGCAGCCCUGAAUCACUCGGUCAGCCAGCGGCAGGGCAGGCCAAUGGGCUGGAGGGUAGGCAGGCAGGCAGACCCACCUCUGCAUCUCUGCUGACUGCCUCGGCUGAGGAAAGGCAGCACCAGCCCCCAACCCUGAAGUUCUAGAUCUCAUGCAGCCUCUCUGUUCUGGAACCAUCCAGAGGCACUGCCCUUAUACAUGGUCCACCCCCAGGCUCAGACAAUGAGAAUUCCACAAGCAGAGGGGACUCUAUUUGGGGCACAGAGAGGUUAAGUAACUCCCCUCCUAAGGUCUCUCAGCAAGGAAGCCACUGAGCCGUGGGACUUGAGCUCAGGGACUCUUGAUCCCCAGUCUCAGGUGUCACAGCCCCAUCUGGGCUCCUGCUAGGGAGGAGGAAGGCAGCAGGGGGUGUCUGAGGCCAGGGUGCAUCAGCCCUAAAUGCCAGACAGAGGCAGGAGAAGUCUCCCCAUGAGUCCCAGCCCCAUUAGAGGCUCCAGGUCGGGGAUCCCAGACCCCCUAUCCUUGCUGGGAGACACAACCCAGAACUCUGCAUCCCUGCAGCCACCAAAAAAGGCAAAAGCUGCCCAGAAACACUUUCUCCUCUUCCGUGGCCAAAUCCACGAACUUUCUCGAGGUCUGUCCCCCUGCCCCGUGCAGGUCCAGCUUCAGUGCAGCCCAGCUCUGUGCAGUUUUCCACAAAAGCCUGUGGCUUCCUUCUCCUCCCUCUGCUUCUGAUACCCCAGGAGUUACACACAAAAUGUUGGCGGUGGUCUCCAGGAAGACCCCUGCAUCCCACAGCUCUCCCCAGAAGUUGCCAGCAGUGACCUCCUGAGCCCAGGUGGGGAGUCCCAGGCAGGACAGGGGCUGGGGCUGCAGGCCCUGGGGCCCUGUUAGUGAAGCAGCAAGCCGAGGGUCCCUGAGAGUUUCCCUUGGCCCCUCUGAGGGCUGCCCUUUGAGGUCUUGAGGUCUUGGAGUAUCCAUCGCCCCCACGGCUUACUGUCCCCACCAGCGGAGGAUGAAAGUGCCACAGCGAUGUUCCACGCCAAGAGACCACAGAGACCACCAACCCCUCUUCCCACCUCAGGCUUUCAGAGGCCAGCGGAUUUAGGCGGACAGGCUGUGCGCUUGAGGGCAGCCAGGGCGGUCAGUGGAGGGACGUGGUCCGGGGCCUGGCCACAGCUCCCCACCCAGGGCCCUGGGCUAUUGUUACUCACCGCGGAUGAAGGUCGGCGAGUAGGUCGGGAAGGAGUCGAAGAUGCUGUUCGAUGCCAUGCCCCGCUCUGAAGAAG